GGACUUCAAAUGUGGUGUUGGGCGAGCAGCAAGGGUCUAUACAGGACGAGAAGCAGGAACUUUACAGGAGGAACUGGUAGCUGACUUAGUGAACUGAGAAUAAUAUGUAUAGAGGAGGCUGUGUCUCUCGAUGGAAAGAGGCCAUGGUUGUGUAACAGCAUGAAGAUGAUGCACCGAAGAAAACAAUUCCCACAAAAGG